GUCCACGCCCUAAACGAUGCUGACUAGUUGUUCGGGAUUUACAUCCUGAGUAACGUAGCUAACGCGUGAAGUCAGCCGCCUGGGGAGUACGGUCGCAAGAUUAAAACUCAAAGGAAUUGACGGGGACCCGCACAAGCUGUGGAUGAUGUGGAUUAAUUCGAUGCAACGCGAAAAACCUUACCUACCCUUGACAUGUCACUAACGAAGUAGAGAUACAUUAGGUGCUCGUAAGAGAAAGUGAACACAGGUGCUGCAUGGCUGUCGU
rnacentral:rRNA from 1 species